rnacentral:rRNA from 1 species
GUAGGUGGCAAGUGUUGUCCGGAAUUAUUGGGCGUAAAGCGCGCGCAGGCGGUCCUUUAAGUCUGAUGUGAAAGCCCACGGCUCAACCGUGGAGGGUCAUUGGAAACUGGGGGACUUGAGUACAGAAGAGGAAAGCGGAAUUCCAAGUGUAGCGGUGAAAUGCGUAGAGAUUUGGAGGAACACCAGUGGCGAAGGCGGCUUUCUGGUCUGUAACUGACGCUGAGGCGCGAAAGCGUGGGGAGCAAACAGGAUUAGAUACCCUGGUAGUCCACGCCGUAAACGAUGAGUGCUAAGUGUUAGGGGGUUUCCCGCCCCCCUUAGUGCUGCAGCUAACGCAUUAAGCACUCCGCCUGGGGAGUACGGCCGCAAGGCUG